UGAUAUACUGCAGUUUGUCAGAGAUCAGCUGUGAAGUUCUGGGUUUGGUUCUGAAGAACAACCCGUCCAGACUGAAAGAACUGAACCUGAGCUGGAACAAAAUCCAGGAUUCCGGAUUUCUUCAUCUGCGUGGUUUUCUGGAGAGUCCAGACUGCAGACUGCAGACUCUGAGGUUAAUCAACUGCAGAUUGUCAAAGAUCAGCUGUGCUGCUCUGGUCGCAGCACGGAAUUUAAACCCAUCCCACCUGACAGAACUGGACGUGAGGAACAACAACCUUCAGUCUUCAGAUGUUCAGCGGCUUCAGGAUCUGGUGAAGAGUCCAAACUUCAAACUGCAGACUCUGAGCUGGAAGUACUGAAGAAUGGACAGUUAUUGUGCUGCAGCUCCUCCGGUGGACUGAUGGAGAACUGCACGUCAUCUUCUCAUUCUAACUUGGAGUGUUGGGAAGUCUUCUGUUUCUCUUCUCUCUCUAUUUGGAGUUUCUCUUAACUUUGUUCACGCACUCUUGCUGCAGUUUUUUCCUCAUGUGUCCUGAAACUGUUUCUCUGAAUGAUAUGUGUUGGUGAUUCAUCAGAUUCAGACGUGAUGGUUUCCUGCAGAAGCUCAGAAGUCUUUUCUGGUGUUUCUUGGACUCCUGCACGUCUCUGUACCACAGAGUGGACCAGCAUUCUCUGAACAUCCUUCAGCUGGUCCAGAAAGCAGCAGCAUGGCUGUUGACCAAAGAAAGAAAACCUUCCAGCAGUUCUGGCCUCAGGAUUCCCCAUCUUGGAGCAUUUUGGUUCUUCUUUUUCAUCUUUAUCAGACCUUUCAGAACCACAAAGUGGACUGAGUUCCUCUGAUUAAAGGCUGCUGGGUUUUGUAUUUUGUUCAUUAUUUUACAGGAUUUUGUUCUAUUGUAACCAUGGUAACUGUGGGAACCGCACUCCUGUUUACUCUGAGUCCUGAAGCAGAAAUCCCACCAGAACUAACAAAAGUCUCUCAGUUGAAUCAUUUUUAUAUCAUCUCUGUUCUGUUGAUGAUAAAAUAUUGACUCAUGCAGUUUGAAAGACUCAGAGUUUUAGUUUGAUGUUUUCUACAGUUUUAUGAUUGAACUUCCUUUUUCUUUGGUGUUUUCUGGGUAAAACUCUGUUCUUUUUCAUGCUGACAGCAUUUUAGCUUCAGUCUUCAAAUAAGUUUCAUCUAAAUCCAGUAGAAUCUGGUCAUUUUCUAGAAAGUCUGAAACUAGCAGAAACUUUCUGAGCAUAAAGGCUGUUUUCUCCAGAGGACAUGAAUGAACAGAGUGGAUGUUAGUGAGGAAUGACAGAGAAUCACUUUGAUGCAGCUGCUGCAACAACACUAACUGCAUUGAAGCAGGAGGGAGAAGGGAGACACCUGCUGGCUGUUUCCAGAACUGCAUCUUAGUGUCUAAAGGUUCAAACUGAAAGCUGUCUGUCAAAUUCCUGCAGCCUGUUUGGAUCUAAUAAAUGCUCUUUUGAAUCAACACUGUGUUUGAGAUUGAUUUAGUCUUCAUUCUAUCUUUGACUCACAAACAGACUUUAAUCUUUAGCCUUCCCCUCAUCCUGUUAAAGCUGUUCUAAUAUUCAUGUGUUUGCUUCAUUCUCAGUAGAAAUGGGUUGAAAAGAGCUUUGGAAUGUUCAGUUGGUGCUGAUGUCUUUCUAGAUGGGGGGCAGAACAGAUGAGAGAUCCUUCCUCCUGAUUCAGAGGGGAACAGUGGGCAGCAGCUGAAAGGAGGGAGUGGAAAUGGGAAAAGUUCUCUGGACAUUUCUCCUUUCCAAGGAAGUCUCUGAGGAUGUGGUGGUGACGAUUGCUGCCAUGUUGUGUUGUUGUUGGUCCUUAGCAGUCAGAGAAACACACAACAUUUACAGACACACACUCAUGUAUGCACACAACAUGAAAGGAGGUUUGAUCAACCAGACAGCAGAUGUGUGACAUGGUGAGAGUUCAGCUGCAGUUUGAUGAAGAACUUAAGUAUUUACUUUACCUGUGAUUUUAUUCAUUCUUCUGUUAUUUUUCUACCUUCUAUUUUCACAAGUUUUCAAACUUUAUUAAUAAAAAAAGAACACACAGUCAUGACAGUUCCUGUAUAGCAGAGACUCUCUGAGGAUCUGAUUACAGGGAGGAGCUAACAAACACAUCCAUACAUGCAGGGGGCGGAGCUCUGUUCAGGUGUCCUUGAACCAGGAAACAAGGAAGUUUAGUGUUUUCCUCCAUGUUAGAGCAGAAAGAGACGAGGCUCCAACUUUCUUCUUCUUCAGGGUGAGUCUUUGUGUUUUCUGUCAUCUUCUCCUUCAUGAUGAAGGCAGUGAUGUUUCUGUGUGAUCUCAUCUGUGAGGAAGAGGAGCAGCAGAGGAAGAACUCAGACUGAACUGGUUCUCCUGUUAGAAAAAGAAGAGUUCUUCCAAAAACCAGCAGCUAAAGCUCACUGCAAGUCUGAGAGAGGAAUGAGGAAACUGGGGGGGGUUGCUUUUAUUCUGAAACUACAAACACAGGACACCACAAUUAUUGACCAAUCCAAACAACAGACACUCGAGGGAUGUGAUUGGCUGAGACUCAGGACAGCUAGGAGACCAGCGGUUGCAGCAUGUGGAAAAGAAUCUUCAGUAACGAUUGACAAAUGAAGUACGGGGCGCUUCAAAAAAGGCCAGAGAAAGAAGACCACAGAUAUGUGGGCAAAAGCUGGUGGGAGACGAGCCAUUAUUGGGGUUUAUGUGCCAUAUUUCUGAGAUAAAUGUUCCCACAUAUUUGGACAUCACUCACUACUAAUCUUCUCCAAAGUAGGAAAGCCCACUACACCCAUUGUCUGAAAAUAAUCUGGAGGGAGGACAGACGAGGAGUCCGGACAGCUGUGCUCCGUGCAGGUGAGCUCAUUUCCCGCAUGGCUAUGAUACUUUUUUAAUCUGGAUUUAACAGGAAUCAUUUUGAUGGUUAUAUAACUUGCAGCCCAACAUAUUAUGGGUCAAAGCAUCC